rnacentral:rRNA from 1 species
GACGAACGCUGGCGGCGUGCUUAACACAUGCAAGUCGAACGGAAAGGCCUGCUUUCCCUUGUGGAUUGCGGGUACUCGCGUGGCGAACGGGUGAGUAACACGUGAGUGAUCUGCCCCCAACUUGGGUAUAAGCCUGGGAAACUGGGUCUAAUUCCCGAUAGGACUGCAGGGUGGUGCCUGUGGUGGAAAACGAUUUUCUAGUGGUUGGGGAUGAGCUCGCGGCCUAUCAGCUUGUUGGUGGGGUAAUGGCCUACCAAGGCGGCGACGGGUAGCCGGCCUGAGAGGGUGGACGGGCACAGUGGGACUGAGAUACGGCCCAGACUCCUACGGGAGGCAGCAGUGGGGAAUAAUGCACGAUGGGCGGAAGCCUGAUGCAGCGACGCCGCGUGGGGGAUGACGGCCUUCGGGUUGUAAACUCCUUUCGGCCGCGAGGAAGCCACCUGGUUGGAAGGGUGGUGACGGUAGUGGUAGAAGAAGCACCGGCUAACUACGUG